GUACGGGAGGCAGCAGUGGGGAAUUGUUCGCAAUGGGCGCAAGCCUGACGACGCAACGCCGCGUGGAGGAUGAAGAUCUUCGGGUCGUAAACUCCUGUCGACCGGGACGAAACGUUCGGGGGUGAAUAACCUCCGGACUUGACGGUACCGGUGGAGGAAGCCCCGGCUAACUCCGUGCCAGCAGCCGCGGUAAUACGGGGGGGGCAAGCGUUGUUCGGAAUUACUGGGCGUAAAGGGCUCGUAGGCGGCUGUCUAAGUCGGACGUGAAAUCCCAUGGCUUAACCAUGGAACUGCGUCCGGUACUGGACAGCUUGAAUCCAAGAGAGGGAUGCGGAAUUCCAGGUGUAGCGGUGAAAUGCGUAGAUAUCUGGAGGAACACCGGUGGCGAAGGCGGCAUCCUGGAUUGGUAUUGACGCUGAGGAGCGAAAGCCAGGGGAGCAAACGGGAUUAGAUACCCCGGUAGU
rnacentral:rRNA from 1 species